AUACCUCGGUGUGGCUUGGAUUUGGGGGUUUUUGCAGGCUUCAAAGAAAGUCGGCUCCCCUGAAAAGCAUUAGCGGUGUCCGAGUACCUUUGGUGUGAUAACUAUCUAUGCCUUGGUGUAUACGAUGCAUGCUGCUUCUGAACUUCAUUUUUAUUGACAAAUUUGACCUCAAAUCAGGUAGGAUUACCCGCUGAACUUAA
rnacentral:misc_RNA from 1 species